UACGGAGGGUGCAAGCGUUGUCCGGAUUUAUUGGGUUUAAAGGGUGCGUAGGUGGGACAGUAAGUCUGAUUUGAAAGCAGGCGGCUUAACCGUCUGAUGUGGUUGGAAACUGCGGUUCUUGAAUGGGUUGGCGGUAGCCGGAAUGGGUCAUGUAGCGGUGAAAUGCAUAGAUAUGACCCGGAACACCGAUUGCGAAGGCAGGCUACUACGACUUGAUUGACACUGAGGCACGAGAGCAUGGGUAGCGAACAGG
rnacentral:rRNA from 1 species